rnacentral:misc_RNA from 1 species
UCAGAUGAAUGGAUUGGUUAUUUAAAGGUAUCUGCAGUAGCAUCAGGAUCUUGAGCUUCAAGCUAAAGCUCGUCAUGGUCGUUGUGACCAAGCUAAGCAUGCUCA